rnacentral:lncRNA from 1 species
CUGUAUUGAAGGCUCCACAUCAGUCCUUCUCCUCUUCCUUUCAGGUCCUGCUCACCACAAUGACCAGGCUCUAGUGAGGGAUGUGCCUCUCAGCAGCAGCUCGUCGGACACAAACGGGAAAAUGAAACACGUUUGAAGGAAAGAAAAGGUCUGUGUGGUUGCCAUAACCAACGCGGUGGGGUUGUGUGUCAGUCAGAGUGGAUUCCUGAGGCCUGUCUCCAUAGCAACCCAUUUCCCUUCCUAAAAGCUGCUGCCAACUUACCCUCUCUGCGCUAAGGCCAGUCUCCCCUCAUCCUCCUGCCCAACCACCAUCAGUGUGCAGGGAUGGACACUGAAUCAACCCACUCUGGUUACUCCAGUCGCUCCGGGAGAUCAAACCGACACGGAGAUCGCAGCCGUGAGAGACACAAAGCCAGCAGCAGUAAAGACAGCAGUCGCUCUGAGAGAUCCGUCAUCAUCAAUCCACCCGACACACCAUCCCAAGAAUCACCAGUUCAUAAUGGGGAGCCGCUGCCUGGAGAACCCACACCUUCAGUGGAUCAAGGGGAUGAUGCUCAGGUAUUUAAUUUACAUUUCUAUCACUGGAUUAAGUUGGUGUCACUUUCUACAAUAAUGAAAACAUU